rnacentral:rRNA from 1 species
GACGAACGCUGGCGGCGUGCUUAACACAUGCAAGUCGAACGUGAUUUUUGUGGAAAUUCUUUCGGGAAUGGAAAUGAAAUGAAAGUGGCGAACGGGUGAGUAACACGUGAGCAACCUACCUUACACAGGGGGAUAGCCGUUGGAAACGACGAUUAAUACCGCAUGAGACCACAGAAUCGCAUGAUAUAGGGGUCAAAGAUUUAUCGGUGUAAGAAGGGCUCGCGUCUGAUUAGCUAGUUGGAAGGGUAAAGGCCUACCAAGGCGACGAUCAGUAGCCGGUCUGAGAGGAUGAACGGCCACAUUGGAACUGAGACACGGUCCAAACUCCUACGGGAGGCAGCAGUGGGGAAUAUUGCACAAUGGGGGGAACCCUGAUGCAGCGACGCCGCGUGAGCGAAGAAGGUUUUCGAAUCGUAAAGCUCUGUCCUAUGAGAAGAUAAUGACGGUAUCAUAGGAGGAAGCCCCGGCUAAAUACGUGCCAGCAGCCGCGGUAAUACGUAUGGGGCGAGCGUUGUCCGGAAUUAUUGGGCGUAAAGGGUACGUAGGCGGUUUUUUAAGUCAGGUGUGAAAGCGUGAGGCUUAACCUCAUUAAGCACUUGAAACUGGAAGACUUGAGUGAAGGAGAGGAAAGUGGAAUUCCUAGUGUAGCGGUGAAAUGCGUAGAUAUUAGGAGGAAUACCGGUGGCGAAGGGCGACUUUCUGGACUUUUUACUGACGCUCAGGUACGAAAAGCGUGGGGGAGCAAACAGGAUUAUAUCCCCUGGUAGUCCACGGGCGAAUUCUACACUGGAUUUGAGCCUAUCCAUGGCGGCCACCUCAGGGGGGGAAAGGAAAACAACAUUUAGUUCUCUUUAUAGAGGGGUAAUAAAACGGCC